rnacentral:rRNA from 1 species
GACGAACGCUGGCGGCGUGCUUAACACAUGCAAGUCGAACGGAAAGGUCCUUCUUUUGGGGUGUGCUCGAGUUGCGAACGGGUAAGGAACAUGUAAGUAGCCUUCCCUUGACUUGUGGAUAACUUCAGGAAACUUGGGCUAAUACCGGAUAGGAGCUCCGGCUUCAUUUUGGUGGUUGGAAAGUUUCGGCGGUUGGGGAUGGACUGGUGGCUUAGCAGGUUGUUGGGGGGGUCGUGGCUUACCAAGGCGUUGACGGGGAGCCGGCCUGAGAGGGUGACCGGCCAAAUUGGGACUGAGAUACGGCACAGAGUACUACGGGAGGCAGCAGUGGGGAAUAAUGAACAAUGGGCGGAAGCCUCAUGCAGCAACGCCGCGUGAGGGAUGACGGCCUUCGGGUUGUAAACCGCUUUCGCCUGUGCCGAAGCGUGAGUGACGGUAAUGGGUAAAGAAGCACCGGCUAACUCCGUG